AUUGAACGCUAGCGGGAUGCUUUACACAUGCAAGUCGAACGAGUGGCGGACGGGUGAGUAAUGUAUGGGAAAGUGCCCAAUAGCGGGGGAUAACUACUGGAAACGGUGGCUAAUACCGCAUCCCAUUGGCUGUGCCCAUAUCGGAUUAGCUAGUUGGUGGGGUAAAGGCUCACCAAGGCAACGAUCCGUAGCUGGUUUGAGAGGACGACCAGCCACACUGGAACUGAGACACGGCCCAGACUCCUACGGGAGGCAGCAGUGGGGAAUAUUGGACAAUGGGGGAAAGCCUGAUCCAGCCAUGCCGCGUGUAUGAGAAGGCCUUCGGGUUGUAAAGUACUUUUAGCAGGGAGGCGGUACCUGCAGAAUAAGCACCGGCUAACUACGUGCCAGCAGCCGCGGUAAUUC
rnacentral:rRNA from 1 species